rnacentral:rRNA from 1 species
UAAGGAAUAUUGCUCAAUGGCCGAAAGGCUGAAGCAGCAACGCCGCGUGAAGGAUGAAGGCCUUUUGGUUGUAAACUUCUGUAGAGAGAGAAAAAACCUCCAUUCUAUGGAGAUUGAUGGUAUCUCUAAAGUAAGCCCCGGCUAACUACGUGCCAGCAGCCGCGGUAAUACGUAGGGGGCAAACGUUGUCCGGAUUUACUGGGUGUAAAGGGUGCUCAGGUGGUUUUGUAAGUCAGAGGUGAAAUUUCGGGGCUCAACCCCGGACCUGCCUUUGAUACUGCAAAGCUUGUGUACGGAAGAGGCUGAUGGAAUUUCUGGUGUAGCAGUGAAAUGCGUAGAUAUCAGAAAGAACACCAGUGGCGAAGGCGGUCAGCUGGUCCGGUACAGACACUAAAGCACGAAAGCAUGGGGAGCAAACAGGAUUAGAUACCCGCGUAGUCC